rnacentral:rRNA from 1 species
UUGGACCUGAUAUCAAACAAGA